CGGCCUUGGAAGUUCUUAGCUACGGCAUUCUCGUUCAACUUUUCCCGAUCGUUCGCCUGUUAGAUGCAAAGGAAGAAAUGAAAAUUAUGAAGAUGUUCUUGUGCUUUACAAUACUUCGCAUGUGAUAUGCAAAGGAGGAAUCGGAAAUGAUAAAGAGAAUAGUGAACGGCUGAAUUUCAGACACAACAAUGAAUCUGGAAGUUUGUACAUACAAGAUAAGUACACGUUGUUUGAAUUAGACCAGAUUCCAAGAAUAAGUAAUUUAACCUAGAAAAAUUUUAGUACUGAUUAGCGAUAGAUGCUUAAUGAGUUUCGAUCGAGCUCUUUGCUUAUUAACCGCGCGUCUUUUGUCAAGAUUAUGUUAAGAAAAAACAGGUAUUUGUUUGCUGUAAGCAAAAUUCUAAUUUAAACAUGGCUAUUUUUUGACGUUGUUCUGUAAGUCUCAACAUUCACUCACCGCUAGUCCCGUGGUCGUAGUUUCACGGAUAUGUCGAGUAUUACAGACGUUUACUUUUAUUUUGUGUCACAAGCAUGUUGCAUUAAUAGCAGUAUUGUUUGCCUUCCGCGCGAGAAAAAUUCAAUCGGUUUAUGACUGUAUACUCUUUUCUAUUGCAAACUAAUUGCGUCACAACUUUUGCGCAGAACUAAUUUCCAUCAUUGGAGAUAUAUUUCGGAUGUUGAGUAGCUUAUGAUAUUUGAAUUGAUUUGUACAAUUAUUUAUUUUACUGUCAUUUAUACAAUUCUUUAGCUUUCCAGUCAUAGUUAGUUCCCUAAAUCGGUCUGAUUUUAGGCAAUUUCGUCUUGGGCAGGUUUUGGAUAGUUUGUAUUCAAUUGAAUAAUAGUAGAAAUAUCACAACACACGCACAUAAGAAUGAAAGGACGAUAAUGUUAAUCAAUCUCCAAAAUUCGUUCUUUGUGUGUCAUUGAAUAAAGCAAUUUUAUAUCGAGCUGCAUAAAGAUUUACGCUAUAUUUUCGCGCGUCAUUAGUUAAGUUAAUGAUUUUGUUUCUGCGUGACUAGCUAAUCCUAUGCUUUUGAGCCGAUGGAUCCGUAUGCAAUGAUGCUGUAGCAAGGGUAAAGAUACCUAACCUAAGUGAUUCAGGAGUCUUACUGCACACUAACACAUAUAUAUUUCUGUGACGUUCCGUCUGUCAGACUUCUUUAGACAUACAUAGUUCAACUAUAAAAAGAAAAGCAGUUACAUGCAUAUUUAAACAAUCAGUGUAAAUGUAUGGGAGUUACGCAUGUUAAAUAAUUAAUAAAAUAAGUAUAUUCUUGAUUGAAUAACAGCGGGCGACUGAAAUGAAAAGUCAUUGAUGAGAUCUCUUUUUGUUUUAUGUUUAACAAUUGAAGUCCAAAUUAAACAAUGGUGGUUUCUGUGUUGUGUUUCUCAUCAUUGGAUGAUGCCGACCAGAAAAGUCAUCUGUGAGUCAAUUAUAAUAUAUUGAUUGUUUGUCUGUUAACAACAUAUCUAGACAUGUAUGCGAAUAACAGCUCUUUGAACCCAAAAAGCCUCAUUUGCCACUUCCCUGAGAAGGUAUUCUGACCCUGAAAGCCGCUUUUGCGACUUCGGCAUCACGUACGAGGAGUGCAACUUUGAAACCUUGUAUCUCACGAACCCUAACUUAUAUUAAGACAAGUUACAUCGUGUGAAAGUUAAUCUUAAAGACCAAUUGUUAUUUUAAAAUUAGCAUGUUGCGGUUAUCAUACGCAAAUUGGCAAAACUAAGAAAAUUUAUGAUCAAUUUAUAAGUUUCGUUACCGAUUUAACCUAUUUGAUUAUCGGCAACGUUUGCAGAGAUUAUAGAUACCUUUCUAGCGGUACUGUUGGAUUGAAUUUAUGAUGCACCACUCUCAUUUUAUAAGCAUUUAAUUCAAUAUUUACCUCGACGUCAAAAAACCAUUGCGUGAACUUGACCUAAACAACGAUGUUACGCAAUUACGCGUUACCCAGUGACGUUACGCAAUUACGUCGUCACGUAGCGAAUUCCAUGCCGCUGUACGUUCCCGGCGCCAAACACGCUUGAAAUCCACAAGCUCUCGAAGCGGCGAACACUUGUAAAGAAUAUGAAAGAAAAACACCCCCCUUUAGAUUUAAAAUGCUUUCUAUUACAUAUAAGCUAUUUUGGAAUUCCUGUUCCAUUGGGCCGUAUCGUCCCUCAGGUAAAUGAUAGGGAAGUGAACAGCUCGGGCUCAAUUAAAAUUGUUCGCAUACAAAUGAUAACUCUGAUGAUCAAUAGAGCCAUCCAAAAAAAAAACUUUCCAUGAAUAUUUCUUUGCCAGGUUGCUUCUGAGUGUGCUGGCUGAAACCAAGCUCUGGCUUAUAUUUAGUCCAUUGUGUAGGGAUGAAUAAUGAUAUCGGAGCUGUAAGCAUCUGAUAUUUGUAGCUUUCUACGCAUUUCUUUUUGUUAAAUCGUUGCUGACUUUCUUAAAUCUUUUUUAUAAUGGGAUGAUGAAAUAUCUUCAUUGGUAUGAUGAGCCCGAGAAAACAAUGGAUUUCCGCCCCAGUGACCUAUUCCUUUUGCCUUGGUUCAGUCCCAAUUGCAACAGUCAGUCGCCGUAAUAUUACCAUAUGGCUUUUGAUGUGGUAGUAACUUCUUGGAAUGAUUUGACAAACUAAAUUUAAUCCUAAAUCGUAAGUUUUCUAACGGCGCUGAAGUUUUUUAUUUCAACGAGAAAUUGAGAAAGAAAAGUUUUGGGACUCGACCUCUCGUUCAACUGAAGAUUACGUAGCCAGAAAAGAAUUGUACGAUGGAGAAUAUCACGCGAUCUCGGGUCGUUGAGCGACAAUCCCUUUUCCUUGAACCAGCUCUUGUAGUACGACGUUUUUUUACAAUUCCGCCGUCUCUGAUGUUUGUUACGUCACUUGCACAAGAUUCUGUCGUUUCACAAUUCAUGAUUUUCAUAAUUGUUUCGACAGUAAUAGCUCCACUGCCAACCCUGUUUAUGGGGUCAUUCUCGAAGGAUUGAUGUCAUGGAAUUGAAAGACGGUGUUGUCUUUUCAUAUCAUGCAAGUUGUUUAUUUAUCCUCAAUACCAUACAAAAGAAUAAUACUAUGUUUGUUGGCAAUGGUAAAAACGCUUUAAAUUAUUAAAAUUUUCUACUUGGAUGAAAA